rnacentral:lncRNA from 13 species
CUUCCCAAAGCCAGCUGUGCCUCACCCUGCCUCCAGCUGUGUCCCACCUUCUCUCCAGCUCAGCCAGAUGACCUGCUUGCACCAGCACCCCUGUCCAUCCACUGACUGCUCAACUCAUGAAAGGCAUGUAUCUCCAGGCGCAUCAACCAACACUGGCAGACUACAGAAAUCCAGUUAUUUGGAAACUACUGCAGUACCACCGAAUGCCAAGUAACCCCUCUAUUGGCUUCUUCUUGCAUCUUGGCACACAGAAUAAUCUGCUAUUCAAGGAGGACAGCCAGGGGCCCAUGGGAACAUCAGUGCCAUGAGAAACCAGCCAGCUCAGAGAACCUGUGGAGCAAGCAUGGCCACGUCCCACAACUUCUCCUCAGGAAGGCAUGAGAGCAGGGCACACAGCCCUUUACUUAUUUAAGGACCAUGCACUUUGCGCAACAGAAACCACCCUACUCCACUGCUGCUCCCCAGCACAGAGGGCGAUUUCCG